GUACCCGCACAAGCAGCGAGGCAUGUGGUUUAAUUCGAGGCUACACGAAGAACCUUACCUGGGCUUGACAUGUUGCUGAAAGAUCUAAGAAACUAGAUCCCUUUUCAUAGCAAUAUGAAAACAGUUUCACAGGUGGUGCAUGGUUGUCGUCAGCUCGUGCCGUGAGGUGUAAGGUUAAGUCCUUGAACGAGCGCAACCCACGUCGUUAUUUGCCACGGAGCAAUCCAGCUACUAUAACGAUACCGCCGGCGACGAGCCGGAGGAAGGCGUGGACGACGUCAAAUCAUCACGCCCCUUAUGUCCAGGGCUACACACAUGCGACAAUGGUCGGAACAAUGAGUUGCCAAGCAGUAAUGCGGAGCUAAUCUCCAAAGCCGGCCUCAGUACAGAUCGAGGGUUGCAACCCACCCUCGUGAAGAUGGAGUUGCUAGUAAACGCAAGUCAGCCAUAUUGCGUUGAAUACGUUCCCGGGUAUU
rnacentral:rRNA from 1 species